CUGCAAGCUGGGGAAGAGAGAAGCCAGUCGCAGCUCAGUCCAAGUCUGAAAGCUUCACAACUGGGGAAGCUGCCAGUGCAGCCUUCAGUCUGUGGCCCAAGGCCCGGGAGCCCCUGAAAAGCCACUGGUGCAAGUCCAAGAGUCCAAAGGCCAAAGAACCUGGAGUCUGAUAUCCAAUGGCAGGAGGAGCUUGGAGGAAGCUUCCAGCCCGGGAGAAAGAAGGAAGCCACAAAACCCAGCAUCAAGUUUCUCCCACCUUAUUCUGCCUGUUUUGUUCUAGCCGUGCUGGCAGCAACUGCAUGGUGCCCAGGCACAUUGAGGGGAAGUCAGAAAUGCCUUGUAGACCUCUCCUAUCGUGUCCGGAAUUGGUGGGUUCUUGGUGUCACUGACUUCAAGAAGGAAUCCGCAGACCCUCGCGGUGAGUGUUACAGUUCUUAAAGGCGGCGUGUCCGAAGUUUGUUCGUUCUGAUGUUCGGAUGUGUUCGGAGUUUAUUCCUUCUGGUGGGUUCGUGGUCUCGCUGGCUCAGGAGAAAAGCUGUGGACCUUCCCGCUCAUUGGCUAAAACAACAUUGAUACAUUUUUUGCGCAAAGAUGGAGGCCUCCCUUUGUCCUCACCAAAGCCAGUAGGAAUGUAAACUACAUGAGAGCAGAAACCUUGCUUGUCUCCAUCACAGUGCCUGGAACAGUGCCUGGGAAGUGGUGGUGGGUGCAGCACAAUCAAUAUUUGGGGAAUGAAUUGUUAUCGUUCAGCCCAGCAUGGUCAGUGGUUGUCAAAGGCGACAAUGCAUCGGUAUUGUCUGAAGAAAUUUUCAAAUACCUGCUCCUUUCUAGGAUCCAGACACAGGAUAAGGUAAGAUG
rnacentral:lncRNA from 1 species